GAACAGUUUGAGAGUGAAUACUGGCUCGACAACACGUACAUAAGGACUGAUCUGUGGACUUCUGUUAAAGGCCUUGACUGUUCCCGCUAUGCGUUUGACCGCAUUCAAAUAAAUUGAGAAGCGAGUACGACACAGUGGUAUCAGUCACCUCGAGUUAACGCAAAUAAUCCAAGCGUGUGAAAUGGCGCUUACAGUCAAACGCAGAGGGAGAUCGUUGCUGUUACGUUGCCGUGACGAUAAAGAGACGGACAGAAGGAGCGAACUGCGGUAAGUCUACGGAAGUGCACGGUGUUUAACGGGUCCUCAUGCAUCGAGGAAAAUAACGGGUCCUCAUGUGAUGAGGAAAAUAACGGGUCCUCAGGUAGUGAGGAAAAUAACGGGUCCUCAGGUAGUGAGGAAAAUAACGGGUCCUCAGGUAGUGAGGAGAAUAACGGGUCCUCAUGUGAUGAGGAAAAUAACUGGUCCUCAUGGGAUGAGGAAAUUAACAGGUCUUCAUGUGGUGGGGAAAAUAACGGGUCUUCAUGUGAUGAGGAAAAUAAUAGGUCUAAUUAAUGAUCACAAAGUUUCUGCUAAUAUUUGAGCACUCCAGAGAAAUCUGUGUUCAUGCAUGUCCUGUCCGUGCUCGUAAUAGAGUCUCUGUUCCGUUUUUCUGCCGUAUCCUUGCUGUUGCAGAUCCCGAGAACAUGAUGCGAUGCAGAGUUCCUGCCAGAUUACUUCCCUGAUGACUUCCCUGUGUGAUGGGAUGACGUUAUGGAAAGAUGUGUCCUGACUUGUCAUCAUAACUGAUGUCUACGCCACUGCCUGGAAAUCACUGCCUCCUUGGCUGACAUUCAUCGGUAGCAAAGGAUCCUGUCUUAAUAGUUGACAUUCUGGUGCAUAGUGAUUUGUUUGAUGACUGAUACGUGAGGGUGCUUAAUGAGUGGAGCCAUGUUGCAUCGGCAUCCUAGUGAAACCUUUGGAAAAAAAUGUAGAUGAAAACUUCGACGAGAACCUUCAGAUAAUUAUUCAGCGAAAACACAUACACAUUUGCAGUACAGAAACGAUCGUUACUAAGUGUAAGGCAUAAUGUUUUUAGUCGCUGUCUUUGCCUGAGUGAUUGCUUGUAUUCUGAUCUUGGUAUAUAUAUAGUAGAACCUACAACGCCAUAACACACAUUGUAUUGUUGAGUCCUGGAGAGGUUUUUUAAUCUCGGCGGCCAAAAGUUCUGGGAGGAGUUCAAUUUUUGUAUACAAGAGGUUGCAUUCUCUCCCUGUGACUGGGACGUGGAGUUUUUUCCCUUGUCCGGCAACAAUACAGAUGAGGAUCAUUGUAACUGAUUGUUAAUUCGUGGGAGAUCUGAUGUUAGGUUUGCACCUGUUGUUACUGAUAUAGAAACCAUGAAGACAAGGCAAAGGGAUAUGAGAAAAUAUAGGAUUCAAGCUGUGCUGUGCAUCUGUUGUAACAAUUCUCUAACUCAUUUCGGAAGUGAUGUAUAUGAGGAAUAUAGAAGAGCCUCUCGGGGGUGGCGGUCUAUGCCAAUACCUGGACUAUACCGUUCCCAGCGCCGGGCAAGAGUUUUGUGUUGUUUGAGACACUCCGUGCUCAAUCAAUGGGGGGAGUGUAGCCGCUGUUAUCAAAAUCGGCAUGGCGUACCCGCUGGCAUCAGCAUCACGUGUAUAACAUCUGUAGCCACUGCCAUCAGCAUCGGUAUGGCGUAGCUGCUGGCUUCAGCAUCACGCGUACAUCAUCCCCUCUAGGACCUGGUUGACGGUUUCUUCAUGGGUUGCGAUAAGGAUAAUGGCAUGGCCGUGUUCCUCCAUGUGUUUGUAUGUGCUGAAUUAGGCCUUGUCCCUAAUGUUGACGUAUAAAUGAAGGAAGGGCGUCUCACGAAAGGGGGGCCAUAACAGGUUAUAGAACAGUUUGAGAGUGAAUACUGGCUCGACAACACGUACAUAAGGACUGAUCUGUGGACUUCUGUUAAAGGCCUUGACUGUUCCCGCUAUGCGUUUGACCGCAUUCAAAUAAAUUGAGAAGCGAGUACGACGCAGUGGUAUCAGUCACCUCGAGUUAACGCAAAUAAUCCGAGCGUGUGAAAUGGCGCUUACAGUCAAACGCAGAGGGAGAUCGUUGCUGUUACGUUGCCGUGACGAUAAAGAGACGGACAGAAGGAGCGAACUGCGGUAAGUCUACGGAAGUGCACGGUGUUUAACGGGUCCUCAUGCAUCGAGGAAAAUAACGGGUCCUCAUGUGAUGAGGAAAAUAACGGGUCCUCAGGUAGUGAGGAAAAUAACGGGUCCUCAGGUAGUGAGGAAAAUAACGGGUCCUCAGGUAGUGAGGAGAAUAACGGGUCCUCAUGUGAUGAGGAAAAUAACUGGUCCUCAUGGGAUGAGGAAAUUAACAGGUCUUCAUGUGGUGGGGAAAAUAACGGGUCUUCAUGUGAUGAGGAAAAUAAUAGGUCUAAUUAAUGAUCACAAAGUUUCUGCUAAUAUUUGAGCACUCCAGAGAAAUCUGUGUUCAUGCAUGUCCUGUCCGUGCUCGUAAUAGAGUCUCUGUUCCGUUUUUCUGCCGUAUCCUUGCUGUUGCAGAUCCCGAGAACAUGAUGCGAUGCAGAGUUCCUGCCAGAUUACUUCCCUGAUGACUUCCCUGUGUGAUGGGAUGACGUUAUGGAAAGAUGUGUCCUGACUUGUCAUCAUAACUGAUGUCUACGCCACUGCCUGGAAAUCACUGCCUCCUUGGCUGACAUUCAUCGGUAGCAAAGGAUCCUGUCUUAAUAGUUGACAUUCUGGUGCAUAGUGAUUUGUUUGAUGACUGAUACGUGAGGGUGCUUAAUGAGUGGAGCCAUGUUGCAUCGGCAUCCUAGUGAAACCUUUGGAAAAAACUGUAGAUGAAAACUUCGACGAGAACCUUCAGAUAAUUAUUCAGCGAAAACACAUACACAUUUGCAGUACAGAAACGAUCGUUACCAAGUGUAAGGCAUAAUGUUUUUAGUCGCUGUCUUUGCCUGAGUGAUUGCUUGUAUUCUGAUCCUGGUAUAUAUAUAGUAGAACCUACAACGCCAUAACACACAUUGUAUUGCUGAGUCCUGGAGAGGUUUUUUAAUCUC